GCAACUUCUUUCUCUGACUU
rnacentral:siRNA from 1 species